AUACGAAGGGGGCAAGCGUUGUUCGGAAUAACUGGGCGUAAAGCGCACGUAGGCGGAAUGUUAAGUUAGAGGUGAAAUCCCAGGGCUCAACCCUGGAACUGCCUUUAAUACUGGCGAUCUAGAGACCGAGAGAGGUGAGUGGAAUUCCGAGUGUAGAGGUGAAAUUCGUAGAUAUUCGGAGGAACACCAGUGGCGAAGGCGGCUCACUGGCUCGGUACUGACGCUGAGGUGCGAAAGCGUGGGGAGCAAACAGGAUUAGAAACCCUAGUAGUCC
rnacentral:rRNA from 1 species